UGUCAGCGGGGGACAUUUAACUGCAUUCCAUGACUAUUUUUGCAAUGUUGGACAUUUAAUUCUAUAAAUACUAUCAUUAAUGUCCUGAAUAACCAUGCUUUAUUGCCAAAAUACGAAGUAUAAAGAGUGAAGAACAAUAUUUCAAGUAAAAAUCUAUUCUUAUUUUGUUUUCAUAUGUUUAUGGAAGCUUCAUAGGAAACCCUACAUAUUUUUCAACUUUACUGGGUAAUGCUUAUCUAAGAUUAAACAUAUAUUUCUGUUCAAAAUAUAACAUACCUCACAAGCAUAUUAUAUGAUCAUUAUUGCAGAAUCCUCAAUUGUAUACGAAGCUGAAAUUGAAUGAUAUUAGAAUAUUGUCUCAGAUCUCACAAACAAAAUGAAUAUUAGAUGAAUUAAAAGAGGUUCUAGUAAUGUCCUUUACUUCAUCACUAUGACUGAAAUCUUCUGGUAAGAGUUAUUUAAAAAUAACUAACAAAAAAUGCGGUU